GGGGGGGGGGGGGGGGGGGGGGGGGGGGGGGGGGGGGGGGCUCUUCCGAUCUCGGCAGGGGGGCUCUGCCGGCGGGGCUUGGCCGCGCACGCGGUGCUGCGGGAGCUGGAAAAAUCCGUGGGGAUGGGAUGGCUUGGAGGGGCUCCUGCCCUGCCCGGGAGACGCGGCUGCACGGGAACGUGCCGUGUACCUGCGUGCCAGAGCCCGCUGUGGCCGCAUCCAGAGACUCCCACGGAGUCCACGCAGCGUGUGUGUGUCGGCUGCAACAAAACACCCCCGAUGAGGUCGUUGUGGACAAUACAAGUCAGGCUUGGGAGAACUGGACAAGCAGUUCAGAAGAGAUCUGGAAGAGUGACCAAGAGUAGAGGCAUGGACGUUGGGGACUAAAGCAGUUAAUAAACAUUGUUUGCCAGGAGGAAGAUUGGAGUUUAUUUUGAUUAUUUGAGAGGUCCUGUGUUGGGGAUGGUGGAGUACUUUCCUGUACUGCAAAGCAUUAACAGUCCAAAACAUGAGAAGAUUGAACUCCUAGGAAUGGAAAUUAGACAAAUGGAGGUUGAAGAUAAGACAGAUAAUAUUAUUAAUGCUAGAUAAACACUGAAACACUUGCUUAGAAGAGAAGACUCAACAGCUUUCUAAAAAAAACUACCCACAAGUAGAACUGAUGGAUGGCUUCUUUCUAAGAUAUAUUAAAUGUAAGAAGUUUUUAUGUGUACACAAACAAGGUAUGUAAACCACUGAAGCCACCCUUGACCAGACAUAUACUGGUUUAAGUAUUUUUGUAGUGGUAUUUUUUAAAUGUCUAGUCCAAUAUUAUGUUAUGUGUUUUCAUAGUAACUCCAAAAGGCAUUGCAACAUCUUAGAAUUUCAGCUCUACUAUGUUUUCAGUAUUUUACUAGAGAUGACUUGACAUUUACUUGCAGUAGUAAUUUAUUUAAAGUCAAUAUUGAACACUGCAAGGAUGUGCAUACAUUACAGUUUGAGAGGGUAUCAAAGGCAGCCACUCUGAUAAUACUUGCUUAAAUACUGGCUACUCAUAUAUUUGCCUGUUGCUCAGGGGCCUUCUGUAUAAGCAAGAAGUGGC
rnacentral:lncRNA from 12 species